rnacentral:rRNA from 1 species
AUUGAACGCUGGCGGAAUGCUUUACACAUGCAAGUCGAGCGGCAGCGCGGGGGCAACUCUGGCGGCGAGCGGCGAACGGGUGAGUAACACAUCGGAACGUACCCAGUUGUGGGGGAUAGCCCGGCGAAAGCCGGAUUAAUACCGCAUACGACCUGAGGGUGAAAGUGGGGGAUCGCAAGACCUCACGCAGUUGGAGCGGCCGAUGGCGGAUUAGCUAGUUGGUGAGGUAAAGGCUCACCAAGGCGACGAUCCGUAGCUGGUCUGAGAGGAUGAUCAGCCACACUGGGACUGAGACACGGCCCAGACUCCUACGGGAGGCAGCAGUGGGGAAUUUUGGACAAUGGGGGGCAACCCUGAUCCAGCCAUUCCGCGUGAGUGAAGAAGGCCUCGGGUUGUAAGCUCUUCGGUCAGGAACGAAACGGUAGGUCUCUAACAUAGACUGCUAAUGACGGUACC